rnacentral:lncRNA from 1 species
ACAUAUUCUUUCGGUAACAACCUGUGGAGCUCCAUGGUCUCUUUUCUGCAGGGAUUUAUACAUUGCUUUCAACCUCCUGACACGAAUGCUUAUUUGCCAGUUGGGGAAAACAUGGCAUAUUUUUAAGGGUUUGCUAUAGAUCAAUUAAAAGACAAAAGCCUUGGCAUUUAAGUAGGUACUUUUUUUUCUCAGGGUGGUGCUGCUGAUACUGGUUCCUACCAUCUGUUUUCUUUUUGCAUCCUGCUCCUUCAGUUUAGAGACAGCUCCAGCUUUUCAGAGUACUGAGCCAUUCACAUUUUCUCUGCAUGAUCAUAAAUUUGAGUAAACUGUAGGAAUGCUUCUGUGCUUCCAUGCAUGUCCUAAUAACAAGUAAAAUGCAUUUGGGAAAAUCCUGGGCAUCCAGGCAGUCAGUAGAACAGUAGCUGGAUGUAUGCAUUUUACUUGUGAAGUCAGAGGAGCUGUUUAUACUGCUGUCUGCUUGUGAGGGGACAAAAGCAGAGGAUCUGUCCCUUAAAGUGAAUGGCAAUUCUAACAGAAGCUUUUCUCAGCUUUGUAAAUCUGAUAGGCUUGGAUAGAUGAGCAAUGCUAACAUAUAAUUUAUCAUGGGGUCUACUGCUACGGAAAUCGAGGAGCUGGAAAACACUUCUUUUAAAUACCUUAUAGGAGAACAGACUGAAAAAAUGUGGCAACAGCUGAAAGGAAUGAAGUAUGCACAAUGAUUUUCCAUUUGGAAUAUGGCCAAUAGCAAGAAUAAGGUGCUUUCAUCUGUGGAGUUCAGAAGAAAACUAUUUUUCCUUGUUCUCUCUGCCAAUUAAAUGAGUAUUUCAAGUUUUUAAACUGUUUUAACAAUCCUUGGAAAUAAAACUUUACAUUUGGAAAUAUUGU